AGAGCCAGCCCGGGAGGACUCCAGUCAGCUCGGACAAGACUGCCCUUCUGUCCCAACACCUCCAGAGGACACACACAGGCAGCCUGACCACCAUAUCUGCUAUUGCACUCUGCCUGCUGCCACAGCCCCCCGGGCACUUCUGGCCCCCACAGCGUCUUCCAUAUCUUUAGGGGGUGGCAGCAGACUCACAGCAAGUCCCAUCUUCCUGGAGCCCAAGGAAAGAAGAUGAAAUGAAGACAUUCUCAGAUGAAGAAAAACUAGGAGAAUUAAUUGACAACGGACCUGCUCUAAAAGAAAGUGGCUAAAAGAAGUUCUUCAGACUGAAGGGAAAUGAUACUAGAAGGGAACUUGGAGCUUCAGGAAUGAAGAAAAAACAACAACAAAAAAAAGGAUAAACUAAGCUCUACAAACUCAGAAGACAUUGCUAUGAUAUGCCAGCCCUUAAUCAUGGUCUAGUACAACAAAUGCUAAAUAAAUGGAAUGUUUUAUUUAUAUCUUUAACAAAAAUAAUUAGUAUUUUAUAGUUUAAUUUUGCAGUAAUUCAGUAAAUGGAUUUUUCUUGCUUAUUUAAAUUAGUGAUGUUUUCUCAUAUGUGGUGGUGUUUCAAGAAAAGUUAUAACUCUGAAUGUGCUACCAGCAUAAGAUCCAGUCUUUGAUAUCUGUCACUACAUAAAUAUAGCUUAACAUUGAUUUCACUAUUUUGAGAGCUUUCUGAAUGGUUCUGGUGUUCUUGUGCGUGGGACAGCCAGUAAAGAUCAGGUUAUUCAGAGUGCUGAAUAAGAUCACUUAAGAAAUAACAUAAAUAAAAGGACUAUAUGGUUAGAUUAAUAGAUCUAAAAGUUAAAUAAACCUUUUUUUUGGUAACCCUUAAAUUGCCAAACUAAAAUAAUUUUAUACCUUUAAAUAAAAAUACCAGAAGUUUUCCAGAAACAAUUUUUUCCUUAGCUAGACUGUAGGAGUCACAUAAAAUAACUGACUGGAGAAAUCCUUCUGCAAAGCGAAAGAAAGUAGUGUGAAGAAUUCAUCUGUUACUCCUCUUGACCAGACCCACAAAGAAAAAGCAAUAGUUUAAUAUGUACCUCGUUAGCCACAUACAAAGUUCAGAUUAUUGCUGAUCAUUCUAGUGCUGAUCAUUUGAAUUUGAUGGUUGUCUAUACCCGUGCUUCUCAAAAAAUCUGUGGCGAAGGGGCCAGUUUUAUUGUGUGUAUGUGUGUGUUCCAUUAUGGACUGAUAUAAAGUACAAUAAAAACAGAAGUUACUCAAAGAAUGAUGAUGUGCUUGGAUGUCCCGGCAAUAUCAAAUUGUUACCAAAGUUUCCAAAAGCUCACUUUCAAUUUUUGAACUUAUCUCAAACAGUAUGCAAACCCUUCUUUCAGUAGCACUGAUCUAGAUUAUGCUUUUUACUUCAUGAUAUUAUUCUUCUUCAGUACAAGCACCAGGUUAUCAAAAAUAAACAGAUAAAUUAUUCUAAUUAAUUGUUACUUUUAACAACUCCAAUUAAAUAUAAUCAUAGAAUCCUGGGAUUAAAAGUCACUUUAGAGGUGCAGCUAGUCCAAUCUUUUUUUUUUUUUUUUUUUUUUAUCUUUUUUUCUGAGACUGAGUCUCGCUCUGUCGCCCAGGCUGGAGUACAGUGGCAUGAUCUCAGUUCAUGCAACCUCUGUCUCCUGGGUUCAAGCGAUUCUCCUGCCUCAGCCUCCCGAGUAACUGGGAUUACAUGUGCGCACCACCACGUGCGGCUAAUUUUUGCAUUUUUUGUAUUUUUAGUAGAGAUGAGGUUUCACCAUGUUGGCCAGGUUGGUCUCGAACUCCUAACCUCAGAUGAUACACUUACCUUGGCCUCCCAAAGUGCUGGGAUUACAGGUGGGAGCCACCACACCCAGUCUCCAAUCUUAUAAUAAAUUACAUGUAAAGAUAUUAUUUAGGCUAGUGACAAAUGAAGGACAAAAUCCAUUGUUACACCACCAGGGUCCACAGACUCCAGGCUAACAAAUCUGUUUAGCAUUCUUUGGGUGCCAUUCUUCAUUAUAAGUUUCUGUAACUAAUAUCCAUAGGGUAAUUUCUCCAACCUUUCACUAAGGAUGUAAAAAUAUUUGUCGAAUGUCCUGAGGAAAUCAAGAUACCUCAUGGCUUCAGGAUUUACCUAAUUUUCUAUACUUGUAACUACAGUUGACCCUUGAACAACACAGGUCUGAACUGCAUAGGUUCACAUAUACAGAUUUUCUUCCAUCUCUGCCACCCGUGAGACAGCAAGACGAACCCGUUUUCUUCCUCCGCAGCCUACUCAAUGUGAAGACGAGGAUGAAGAUCUUUACAAUCAUCCACUUAAUGACUAUUAAAUAUACAUUCUCUUCCUUAUAAUUUUCUUAAUAACAUUUUCUUUUCUCUAGCUAAGAUUGUUGUAAAAAAAAAGAUAUAAUACAUAUGGCAUACAAACUAUGUGUUCAUCAACUUUAUGUUAUUGGUAAGGCGUCUGGUCAACAGUAGGCUAUUAAUAAUUUUGGGGGCCAAAAGUUAUAUGCAGACUUUCAACUGGGUGAGGGGUGGGCACACCUAAGCCCUGUGUUGUUCAAGGGUCAACUGUAUUGGAAGUUUAAAAUCAGUCCUCCUUAAGACUUUAGUAAGAAAUUUAUUUCUUACUUUAUUACUUUAUUUUAGUAAGAAAUUUAUUUCUUACUUUAUUACUUUAUUUUAGUAAGAAAUUUAUUUCUUACUUUAUUACUUUUAGUAAGAAAUUUAUUUCUUACUUUAUUACUUUAUUUUAGUAAGAAAUUUAUUUCUUUAUUUUAGUAAGAAAUUUAUUUCUUACUUUAUUUUAUUAAGAAAUCUUAUCAGUUUUAAUGCCAAGAGAUUUAUUUUAGUAAGAAAUCUUAUCAGUUUUAAUGUCAAUAUUUCAUCAUAUUGUGGUGGUUGUAAAUAAUUCCAAAUAUUUAUUGUUUAUUUUUUUAAAUUUAUUUUAGAAUAAAAGCAGUAAUAUUAAUGUCUAA